ACAGUACUUUACAAUGUCUCCAAAGAGUUUUUGCUAUUGUUGUAUUAUGUCAAUUUAUUAAGACCUACUUUAUAAGUGGUAGCGUAAUAUAACCUUAACUAUGCAUUCACACGUAAUCCCAAAUAAGAGUGAAGAUGAGAUGACAGUAGAAGAGAAAUGGAUGGUGCAACAUGUAAAAAUGCACGAACAACAUAAAGGGCAUGAAGAAAUGCAUGUAGAAAUGCUGCUUAUUUUAUUUGGAACUUUGUUAGUAGCACAAAUUAUAUUAGUUGAAUGGAAGAAAAUACACUAUAAGUCAUAUCAGUUUGUUACUUUAAUUGCUAUGUGGAUAAUUCCAUUUGGAUUAAGUUUAAAAAAUCAUUGGUGGAGAUUUAUAUUUCUCUGGUUAGUAACGUCUUGCAUAACAGGAUUAGUGGUAAGGAAGGCUGUUCAAAAACCUAUAGCAGGUACAACACCAAGAUUGGUGUAUAAAUGGUUUCUUUUUAUUUAUAAAUUAAGUUAUAUGUUGGGCAUAAUAAGUUAUGUUAUAAUGUUAGCCACAUUUUUUGGUUUACAUCUUGUAUUUGAGGUUAAGCCACAAAUAUGGAUGGAUUGUGGUUUACUUUUGUUAUUUUAUGGUCUUUAUUUUGGAGUAUUAGGAAGAGAUGUUGCAGAAAUAUGUGCAGAUAAAAUGGCAUCACAUAUCGGGUAUUAUGUACCAGGCCAUAUGCCAACAAGAACUUUAGAACCUGGUGUGUGUGCAGUAUGUGGAAAUAGACUUUUAGUGUCAGAAAAUGAACCUGGUGUUAUUGAAAACACAUACAAACUUAGUUGUGAACACGUGUUUCACGAAUUUUGUAUCAGAGGAUGGUGCAUUGUAGGAAAAAAACAAACAUGUCCAUAUUGUAAAGAAAAAGUUGAUCUCAAGAAAAUGUUUUACAAUCCAUGGGAACGACCUCAUGUUUUGUAUGGUCAACUACUAGACUGGAUCAGGUGGUUAGUUGCUUGGCAACCAUUAAUUUUGUUUCUCGUUCAAGGUAUCAAUUGGGGCCUAGGCCUCGAGUAAGUAGUAUUGUAAUAGGAUAAUUAAAUUGCACUUUGAAAACCGUUAAGUUUCUGUGAAAGUAAUGAUUUAUUCUUGUAAACAAGUAUCUGUUUGUAUUUUUCUACAAAUGGUUGCUAUUAUAUUUGUUAUUUAUAACAACGAAUUCUAUUAAAAGGAUAUAAUUCCAGUCCAACUUGUGAUUAAAAUUUUAAUCCAAUUUCAAUACCAAUAUUGCAUUCAGGUUGCAGCGUUAUAAAUAACUUAUUUUAUAUGGUUAGGAUGUUUGCCACUGUAGAUGAUAUAACAUUAUAAAAUGCUAUCUCUUCUAUACUGACAAAUUUACGCACCAUUUAUGUAGCACUAAAUAAUAGUUCUUCCAUAGAACAUCCUUUUUUGCAAUGUAUAUGAACAUUUUCAAAUUCUUAUUUAACAAAUGUGUGGCAAUUACUAAAUAAUGUAUUUUAAUUUAAAUAUGUGAAAUGCAUAUGAACCAUGGUUAUCCGAAUUAACUUUAAUAUAGCGGAAACGUAACAAAUAAUCUAAUAUUUUCUAUAAUAAGAAAGAGAUGCUGACAAUAGAGAAGAUCCUACUCUCAUUUUGUACUUUAGAAUUGAAAUAUACAGUAUGAAAAAUUAGAUAUAGCGUGUGGAUCCUUUACCUUGGAAGAAGUUCAAUUCGGAUAAUCUUGAAAUAUUUUAUUGUAUAAUACGUGUAGAAAUAUUCUGAAUUGAUGUGAGAAUGAUAAGAAUUUACCUUAUCAUUUCUUUUAUCAUUCCACUUCCUUAUUCAAGCUAGUCAAUCUAAGUUUUCAUUUUACACAAUCAAAUUGUGUUUCAUGCGGUACACGUAAUUCAAAUAAUUCUUUCUAAAGAUGUGCACUAACUAUAUUCUGCAUAUUAAUGAAAUCUUUUGACAGUAACAACAUUAUUUUGUAAAUUUUAAGCUUAUAAAGUUGUUACGUAUACUAGAAAAUAUUAAGAUAUUUCAUAAGAAAAUUGCUUUGGUAAUUAUAUUCGAAUAAGCUUCGUUAUGCCAAAGAAGGGAAAUUUUACUUAAUAUAUUCUGGAUUCAGAGAAGUAGGUUAUUAAAAAAUAUCCAAUAUAAUAUUUCUUAAAGCAAAAAGAAAAUCGUGGCUAGCAGUAGAAUUAAAUUAUUUGUGAUAUUUCUAUAAGUAUUAUUUCGCAUAUAUGCAUUUUUUAUCCUGUAAAUUAUUAUUUCCACUGAUAAAGUGAUUUGAUUGUCGAAUGUUUCAUGCAUAAAAGAAAAGAAAAGGUAGUGAAAUAGACUAAAUGGAAUAAAUCAUUUUUUAAUUUUAAUAGAUUCAUAACUACGACUUGUGCAUACUAUAUAUUUAUAAAUCGAAAUUUUUAUAAAUCUUUGGAACAAAAAUUUUUUAUGGUUGUCGAACUUGUUACCAUGAUAAAUCAGGUUGCUCAACUACAACAGAAAUUUUAAUUUUAUGAGAAGUUGACUGCCGGAAGAUACAGACAACGGAAAUGUGAAUACGACGAAACUAGGGAUCGAUAUACGUUAAAAUACUGUAAUUCCUCAUCGGGAUGCAUCGUUACACGAGAUGUAAAAGUGGAGGAUAAAAAUCUCGUUGGAUACGCAUUUAGAAUCGAAUUUACGGGCUUGUACGAAAGAGAGAGAAAUAAAUAAUGAGAACUCUGUCAAUGAUGUUACUAAAAGUCUUUAAUCAAUCUCUCAUCAUUACUCGUUUAGCAAAAAACAACUUUUUAUCACAUCACGCAUUCGUAGGUACUAUUUUCGGACUUGUAGCGAGAGCAUCGGAUGAUACAUUUGAAGAUCACAGGAGGAGAACCUGAUAAAAUACAUUUUUGUUGACUUUCUUAUUUUGAUGUCGUUUUAUGACUAAAAAGUAAUAUUUUCAUAUUACAUUUUUGGUCCUGUUAGGAUCAAAGAUUAUGGUUUUUUAAAUGCAGCUAAUAUUAUGUCAAAGUUUACUAAAAAAUUAUUACCAAGGAAUAUUUUAAUAUCCUCGAUAUUUUAACAUUAUGACAGAGGAUAUGUUGAAAAUUACGCAGAGGAUGUAAAAACGAAAUAGAAAGAUAAUUUUGGUAACAUCGGAUUGAUUGACAAUGUAUAUAUGAAAGUUAAAAACUGCUUUCCUACGAAAAAUGGAAAAUGUAACUUAUCAUUGUCUUUCCCCUGUACUCUUCAUUUAUAAUGUAUGAUGUAUAUAGAAAUAUUUAUUUAUACACUUAAAUCUAAAAACCUCUCGCUAUUGUCAUGGGGAAGAAAUUGUACGACAG